CCUANGGGGGGCAGCAGGCGCGAAAACUUUACAAUGCUGGAAACAGCGAUAAGGGGACCUCGAGUGCCAGGUUACAAAUCUGGCUGUCGUGAUGCCUAAAAAGCAUUGCAUAGCAAGGGCCGGGCAAGACCGGUGCCAGCCGCCGCGGUAACACCGGCGGCUCGAGUGGUAACCGUUAUUAUUGGGUCUAAAGGGUCUGUAGCCGGCCGGAUAAGUCUCUUGGGAAAUCUGGCAGCUUAACUGUCAGGCUUUCAGGAGAUACUGUCUGGCUCGAGGCCGGGAGAGGUGAGAGGUACUUCAGGGGUAGGGGUGAAAUCUUGUAAUCCUUGAAGGACCACCAGUGGCGAAGGCGUCUCACCAGAACGGACCUGACGGCAAGGGACGAAAGCUAGGGGCACGAACCGGAUUAGAUACCCCANUANUC
rnacentral:rRNA from 1 species